rnacentral:tRNA from 1 species
GGGGAUUUAGCUCAGCGGCAUAAGCACCUGCCUUGCAAGCAGGCAGUCGAAGUUCAAUCCCUG